AGAGACAUUGUUGAGGAUGAGGGAGACAUCGUCCACGAUCAGAGACGUUGCCUGUGAUCGCAGAGACUUUGUCAAAGAUGAGAGAGACGUUGUCCAUAAUCAGAGACAUUGUCCCAUGCUUCGUAGAGCUCUGCGCAAGAAUCGGUAGAGACACUGUGGUUCCUCGAUUCGACGGCAUGACCGCGAUCAUGGAGACAUUGUUGAUGGUCACCGAGACACCGUCUAUGAUCUCAGAGACAUCGUCCACGAUCAUAAAGACAUUGUCUAUGAUCAUAGAGACUUUGUCCAUAAUCUCAGAGACAUUGUCCGUGAUCACAGAGACGUAGUCCACGAUCGCAGAGAGUCUUCGUACAAUGAGGAAGUUCUUUGAGACCAGGACAGAGGCCUCCAGGUGUCACCACUUCGUCCACGUCAUCGUCCAUAAUCGUAGAGACAUGGUCCAUGAUCGGAGAGACAUUGUUGAGGAUGAGGGAGACAUCGUCCACGAUCAGAGACAUUGUCUAUGAUCACAGAGACUUUGUCAAAGAUGAGAGAGACGUUGUCCUUGAUCAGAGACAUUGUCCCCUGCUUCGUAGAGACCUUGCGAUAGAAUCGGCGGAGACGGGGGUCACCGAUUUGACGGCACUGCCCGCGAUCAGGGACAUUGUCGAUGGUCACAGAGACACCGUCUAUGAUCUCAGAGACAUCGUCCACGAUCACAAAGACAUUGUCCAUGAUCACAGAGACUUUGUCCAUAAUCUCAGAGACAUUGUCCGCGAUCACAGAGACGUAGUCCACGAUCACAGAGUCUUUGUACAAUGAAGAAGUUCUUUGAGACCAGGACAGAGGCCUCCAGGUGUCACCACUCCGUCCACGUCAUCGUCUACGAUCGCAGAGACAUGGUCCAUGAUCGGAGAGACAUUGUUGAGGAUGAGGGAGACAUCGUCCACGAUCAGAGACGUCGUCUGUGAUCGCAGAGACCUUGUCAAAGAUGAGAGAGACGUUGUCCUUGAUCAGAGACAUUGUCCCAUGCUUCGUAGAGACCUUGCGAU